UCGUACCCUGCUCCAGAGCUUAAAUGAGCGACGGAGACCCAAUGGAACCUAGAUGUUCCCCCACACUCACAAAACUUUUCAAGUGUUUUCUGUCUUUCACUGUAGACGCAAAAUUACUCUAGACCCCUCAUUUGCACCGGCAAAAAUUGGUACCCGAUAUUGUAGUUUUUUGAAGGGUCUCGAAAAAAAAAUAAGUUUGUAGGAUCAGCAAAACUCAGAUUUCACUCUAGAUUUGAUUUUCAAGUUCCUACAAAACAGGAUUUGGCAAAGAAUUGGAAAAAUAUCACUCCAAAUUUGUUUUCUACAACUGCAAAUGUAGAUAGGCAAGUAUAGGUGGAAGAGAAGAUGCAGUAGGCUUGGGAAAGAGAAGAGGGUGGUGGCGUUGUGGCCGUCGCCGACAAGGAGAAAAAGAAGAUGAUGAAGACAGGUGGAUGUAGGUGUAGGUGUAGGUGUGGGUGUGGGUAGAAGGGCAGAUUUAUUUUCUUUCCAUUUUUUUCCCAGUUUUUGGCUUUUAGUUUAGUUGCUCUAAUUGUUAACGAUAUUUGGAAAAAUGUAAAUAUACCAUUUUAUCCUUUUCAAUUUGGUAAAGAGUGGUCAAAUUUUUAUUUUUCAGGUUAACUAACAAUAGUAUAGACGGUUUGGACCUCUAUUGCAUAUUUUUAAAAGGUUAGAGAUCGCUGCUGCAAUUUUUCCUAAAAUUUAUUCCAGAAAAAUUAUUUUCCUUAUUUUUUAGAAAAGUAUGAUUAUGUGACUAAUUUUUUAAAAAUAUUUUUAAUGUCAAUCAAAUAUUUUAAAAGUAAAAAUUUGAAUAAAAAAUGACAUUUUUUUAAAAAAAUAAUAAUAAUAAUAAUAAAAUUCACCGUUCAUUAGAAGUAAUUAGACAUGGAAAGUUUACAAGUAAAGGAAAAAUCACUCAUCCAAUAUAUUAUUAAUAUAAAAAUUUACUUAAAAGUAGAUUUAGGGUAUUUCUAAACUUAGUCAAUUAUGUUCUAUUUCACAAACAAUUCAAAGUAUAGUGCUGCUCAAGAUUAAGCAUUUCAAUUGAACCUUAACAUUGGAUUAAAACAUAAUAAUAAUAAUAAUAAUAAAUCAAUCAAUUAUCAUAAGUGCGGCACUCAUCAGUCUCCGGAUUUUCCUUGCAGUAAUUCUCCAAAGGGUCAGAUUCUCUCUUCUUGUCCUUUGCAUGGCUCGCUGCAGCACUUAGCUCCUCAACCUCGUCCCACGCGGCCGCGCACUCGCCGCUAACGGGGUUCUCGGCGCAGGCCUCCUCCGCAGUCUUAAUGCUCUCCG
rnacentral:lncRNA from 1 species